rnacentral:rRNA from 1 species
AUGAAGUCGGAGUUGCUAGUAAUCGCGGAUCAGCAUGCCGCGGUGAAUACGUUCCCGGGCCUUGUACACACCGCCCGUCACACCAUGGGAGUUGGGAGCACCCGAAGCCGGUGAGGUAACCGAAAGGAGCCAGCCGUCGAAGGUGAGACCAAUGACUGGGGUGAAGUCGUAACAAGGUACC